rnacentral:rRNA from 1 species
UACGGGGGGAGCAAGCGUUGUUCGGAUUUACUGGGCGUAAAGGGCGCGCAGGCGGCUCAUUUUGUCAGGCGUGAAAGCCCCGGGCUUAACCUGGGAACUGCGUGUGAUACGGAUGGGCUAGAGUUCGGGAGAGGAGAGUGGAAUUCCCAGUGUAGAGGUGAAAUUCGUAGAUAUUGGGAAGAACACCGGUGGCGAAGGCGGCUCUCUGGACCGAGACUGACGCUGAGGCGCGAAAGCGUGGGGAGCAAACAGG